rnacentral:lncRNA from 1 species
ACAGUUUAACAUUUUCUUUAGUGGUGCAACCUUGUUCUGAGAUUACAGGGAAUGCUGAGUUUUAUUAGGGUUCUUUCAACAAACUCAUUUAAUUGUUGCUGCCCCUUAGCUAGUGCUGAGUCACUCUCAAACUUCACAGCAUUCCACGACAGCUCAUCCUUCUUGACUUUCCUUUUUUUUUCCCUUUUCCUUUUUCCUUUUUUAAGUUCUCUUAAUAUUUUUUAUUCCCAACAGACUUGUCUUUGGACAAAAUUGAGAAGAACUCAUAAACUUGGCUUCCUCGCUUCUGCUCCUCAGACGCGCGUGGAUGAUUUGAAGAUAUUAGCCUAACAAGAUGGAAGCAGGUUUAAAAUUUUACAUAAGAAGUUACCUUUUUCAGUUGUGUUGAUGUUCCUUUCAGCUGGUCCUAUAGUACCCCUCCUCAGGAAUGUCUCCCCAGUGCAAGGACAAAGACUGAAGAGACUGCUAUAUUGAUGGACUCUCAAGCCAACUAUGAAGUUGAAACAAAGAAAGUGAUCACCUGAAGACACCUCCUCUGCUAAGAAACACCCCCAAAUUGUGCAGCUUCUGCCACUAGAACUCUCAGAACAAGAGACAAUCUUUUCAAGAAACAGAAAAACUCAAUAAUGACAUCUAGAUUUUCAUGAGCCAAGAACUUUCCCUUCCUCAUGUGUAUUCCUCUGUUUGUACUUAAAUUCAUGUGACAUUCAUUUUUUUCCUAGUAUGGAUAUGCUUAUUAAUGCACUUGUUUCAAAAUCCCAAAUUGCACAAAUGUGUUAAUAUUUUAAGAAACAAAAUGAAUCCUACAAGGAGAAUGAUUUUUAGCCACACAUAGGGUUGGAUCUUGAGAGUGACCUACAGAAUAAAAGUACUUUUAAAAUAAAGUAGUCAGAGGCUAUUCAAAGGGUAAAAUAAUCAUAGUACCACAUUGGUCCACUUGACACUAACCAAUCGAUCAUUUUUUUUUAAUCAAGAAAGCUAGAUUCUAUCAGAUAAAAUCACUGCUUCUAAAGAGUUUAAAUCUAGUUAGAAAAAGUUAUAGAAAUGUUUGCAAAGAUAAGUAACAGAUAGAGUCAGUAGAGGAUAAGAUCAAAAACAAAACCAAGCAAAAGAUGAGUUCAGGGGAGUUUGCCAUCAAGUUGGCAAAACUGACUUACUUAGGGAAGAAAGUUAUAAAACAGGAAAAUAUGAGAUGAACCUUGAGUGAUGUGGAAGAUUUAGAUAAAUGGAAAGGAAGGAGAAAAUGGAGUUCUUUAGGUGGUUGUAAUUGGAGGAGGAAAUGAAUACACACAUCUUGUUGACUUAAACCCAGACAUUCAGCAGCUCUCUAUACAUAUCUGGAAAAGACUGCACAGUCACCUCCUGUCUCUCACCCCAGGUAUUACUUAGAAUUAUUAUCAUAUUUCCCUUCCUUUAAAGUAAGUAAGGGUGAUUGGUGACAAUAUGGAGAACUAUGAUUUUUCCAUUAACCUAAUAAUAAUUGGUAUUUAUUGAGUUCUGUUAAGCAUUUUACAUAUUAACUCACUUAAGCCUUUCAACAGCCUUGCAAAAUAGGUAUUAUUAUCCCCAUUUUACAGGCAAGAAAACUGAGGUUUAAGUAACUUGCCGAAGUGCCAUAUACAGGGCUCACAUUCAGUAUUGCAGUUGCAAAGCUCAUGAUCUAUAGUGCCAAGUUGCAAUAUUGUAGUCAAUGUCACAAUUAUUACCCCUUUUUAUAUUCCUUGAUAUUUUUCCAUGGCAAACAAUUAGCUAUUUCAUUUAAUAAUCACCUAAAACUUUUCAGUCUUCUGAUUAAAAUUACGCUGGAGUGAUAGAAUGUAUUUUCAUGAUAGAAAUUGGGAAAAAAAAUGGGGAAUGAAGUUUAUCAGCAUUUCAGACUUGUUUUUUUUUUUUUUUUUUGCAAGACUUUGAUGAGAUUGUUCACUUUUGUCUAUGUAAAAUCCCAAAUCCUUGAGAAUAAAAAAGGGGGAGGUUUAAGUCACUUGUUGCAAUGCCCUUUUUAAUAGAGGCAAUAAAUCUAAAGGCCAUAAAUUUAGAGUGACUUACAGAAGAUCGAACUUUGGAGUGUGGCAGAGUAAGGGAUGGAAACCGGGCCCUCCAGUUCACUAUCAGUAGCUUUUGCACUGGUCUGCCCUUCCUAAAUUAAGUAUGCACUUCAAUUUGAUGAGUGGAAACAGUCUAUCUGGGCAGUAACCAGGGAGCUUUGUGCCUAGUAGAUUGCUUCUGUUCUGCACUUCUUUGGUUUCCCACCUCAAUGUAAAAAAUAGCUAGCAAUGAAGUCCAGAAGUUGUCAAUGGUUCAUCCCCAGAAGAAUGCAUAAUGUCCAAAGUUGUAUGUGUAUGAUGUCUUCAAUGGUAUUAAGUUAUUUCAAAUUCUUAGUUCACCUACAUAAAUCAUUUCUAACAAGCAUCUUCUUAACCAACUUUAUGCACAGUGUAUGUUUGUAAGUGCUUCUGCACGAAUGUUUAUACAUGACUGUUUCCAUAGUACUUAUGUUUUUAAAAAUAUUCAGUCAUUUCCUACUAUAAUCCUCAUGUAUCCAUGUAACUGACUCAAAAAUACUUCAGCCACAGAAAGCUAAAACUGAGCAAAUCUCAUUCUUCUUUUCCAUCCCCUUUGCAUGUGGCUGGCAUUUAGUAAUGAUUAAUAAUAUGGCCAGCUGAAUAACAGAGGUUUGAGACACAAUUCUUUCUCAAAGGAGUCAGCUAAGCUGGGUCUACUUAUGGACAAACAUCUAAAUGUGUGGAAGUAUCUGAUAUUUGACAAUGGUAAAUUUCCACUUAGCUAGCUAGCAUUGUCAGACUUCAAUCUCCUCAUGGCUCUGGCCGUCCUGUUUUAAGCAUGAUAAUUGUUGGCCACAUCUCACAUAGUUCUCAUUGAGUGAGUUCAUAAAUAAACAGGGUUUUUUUUUUUUUUUAAAGAGCAGCCAAGCACAAAGUGUGACUUUGUUGACAUUUUAUGUGACUUUGUCAUAUGUUCCUAACCCCCAAUAAAAGCAAUGUUGCAUCAACUGUGAA